UACAGAGGGUGCGAGCGUUAAUCGGAAUUACUGGGCGUAAAGCGUGCGCAGAUGGUUACGUAAGUCGGGUGUGAAAUCUCCGGGCUCAACCUGGAAACUGCCAUUGAUACUAUUAGUCUUGAAUUUUGUUGAGGUAGGCGGAAUAAGUCAUGUAGCGGUGAAAUGCAUAGAUAUGACUUAGAACACCAAUUGCGAAGGCAGCUUGCUAAACAAAUAUUGACGCUGAGGCACGAAAGCGUGGGGAUCAAACAGG
rnacentral:rRNA from 1 species